GGUGUGGACUUGUUGGAGAAAAUGUGUCACUGGGGGCAGGCUUUGAGGUUUCAGAAGCUCAAUCCAGGCCCAGAGUGAUUCUCUCUUCCUGCUGUCUGCUGAUCC
rnacentral:miRNA from 1 species